GAUGAACGCUGGCGGCGUGCCUAAUACAUGCAAGUAGAACGCUGAAGCUUGGUGCUUGCACCGAGCGGAUGAGUUGCGAACGGGUGAGUAACGCGUAGGUAACCUGCCUCUUAGCGGGGGAUAACUAUUGGGAACGAUAGCUAAUACCGCAUAAAAGUCGAUAUCGCAUGAUAUUGAUUUGAAAGGUGCAAUUGCAUCACUAAGAGAUGGACCUGCGUUGUAUUAGCUAGUUGGUGAGGUAACGGCUCACCAAGGCGACGAUACAUAGCCGACCUGAGAGGGUGAUCGGCCACACUGGGACUGAGACACGGCCCAGACUCCUACGGGAGGCAGCAGUAGGGAAUCUUCGGCAAUGGGGGCAACCCUGACCGAGCAACGCCGCGUGAGUGAAGAAGGUUUUCGGAUCGUAAAGCUCUGUUGUAAGAGAAGAACGAGUGUGAGAGUGGAAAGUUCACACUGUGACG
rnacentral:rRNA from 1 species